ensembl:lncRNA novel transcript
ACUGACUUCCUUCGCACUCAGCCCACUCGCACCCGGGUGAAUAAACAGCCUUUGUUGCUCACACUUAGCCUGUUCAAGUUGUCUCUUCAAUUAGAUGCUCGCAUAACAUUUGGUGCCGAAAGCCCGGGAUAGGGGAACUCCUCCGGCAGACCUCUCCUCUAUCCUCCCGGUACCCACGUUCUCCCAUGCAAGAGACUUCCCUCGCCCUCAGGACCUCAGACCAGCUCCGCGAGCACUCCGGCCUCUGUCUAUGGAUAUGAUCUCCUCGGCUUGGCGGCUGAAGACUGACGCUGCCCGAACGUCUCGGAGGCCCCUUAGACAAUCGCGGAUGCCGAGCUUCGGGUAACUCUUAGGGUGGAGGCAUAAAAAGACAGGAAUGUAAGGUCCUCUGAGCAGGCGGCGCCAUGGUCAAGCCAUCGUGACCCCUGUGACUCACACGUACACAUCCAGAAGGUCUCCUGGAGCCAGAAAGUCUGGGACGACAGGAAAACCACAAAAGAAGAAAAACGGCUAGUUCCUGUCUUAGCUGAUCAGCCAACCUUGUGACAUUCUAUCAUUGUAACAGGCUGUACCCUAACUGAUCAAUCAACCUCAUGACACUGUGCUCUGUAACCUUAUGAUAAUGUACCUUAUGACAUUCUUCCCCUGCCCUCAAUAAACAGCUCCGAACUAUAACUUUCCACUGCUUACCCCUAAAGUAUAAAACUAGCUCCAACCCCACCACUUCCUUUUCGGACUCAGCCCACCCGCACCCAGUGAAUAAACAACCUUGUUGCUCACA